AUUGAACGCUGGCGGCAUGCCUUACACAUGCAAGUCGAACGGCAGCAUGAUCUAGCUUGCUAGAUUGAUGGCGAGUGGCGAACGGGUGAGUAAUACAUCGGAACGUGCCCUGUAGUGGGGGAUAACUAGUCGAAAGAUUAGCUAAUACCGCAUACGACCUGAGGGUGAAAGUGGGGGACCGCAAGGCCUCAUGCUAUAGGAGCGGCCGAUGUCUGAUUAGCUAGUUGGUGGGGUAAAGGCCCACCAAGGCGACGAUCAGUAGCUGGUCUGAGAGGACGAUCAGCCACACUGGGACUGAGACACGGCCCAGACUCCUACGGGAGGCAGCAGUGGGGAAUUUUGGACAAUGGGGGCAACCCUGAUCCAGCAAUGCCGCGUGUGUGAAGAAGGCCUUCGGGUUGUAAAGCACUGUUGUCCGGAAAGAAAUCGCACUUACUAAUAUUAGGUGUGGAUGACGGUACCGGAAGAAUAAGGACCGGCUAACUACGUG
rnacentral:rRNA from 1 species